rnacentral:rRNA from 1 species
GACAGAGGUGCCGAGCGUUAGGCGGAAUCACUGGGCUUAAAGCGUGUGUAGGCGGGCGGGCAAGUACCUUGUGAAAUCCCACGGCUCAACCGUGGAACUGCUGGGUAUACUGCCUGUCUUGAGCCAGUCAGGGGCAGUCGGAACAGACGGUGGAGCGGUGAAAUGCGUAGAUAUGUGGAGGAAUACCGAUGGCGAAGGCAGCCCCCUGGGAUAACACUGACGCUCAUGCACGAAAGCGUGGGGAGCAAACAGG